AUUUUUUGUAUUUUUAGUAGAGACAGGGUUUCACUGUGUUAGCCUGGUCUCGAACUCCUGACCUUGUGAUCCGCCUGCCUUGGUGUCCCAAAGUGCUGGGAUUACAGGCAUGAGCCACCGCACCCAGCCUUAAUUUUUAAAAAUUUGUUGAGGCCAGGCUUGGUGGCUCACGCCUGUAAUCCUAGUAUUUUGGAAUCUGAGGAUCCUCAAGUGGGAGGAUUGUUUGAGGCCAGGAAUUUGAGGCCAGACUGGGCAACAUAGUGAGGCAUUGUCUCUACAAAAAGUUGAAAAUUAGCUAGGCAUUGUGGUGUGCACCUAUAGUCCUUGUUACUUGGGAGGCUGAAGAGGGGAUAAUUUGAGCUCAGGAGUUCAAGGCUGCAGUGAGCUGUAGGACUGCAUUCCUGCCUGGAUGACAGGGCGAGACCGUGUCUAAAAAAAAAAAAUGUUGAGACUUAUUUUGUGGCCUAAUGUAUGGUUUACCCUUUAGAAUGUUCCAUGUGCUGAUGAGAAGAAUGUGUGUUCUACAGCUGUUGGAUAAAAGAUUCUGAAAAUGUCUGUUAGGUCCAUUUGGUCUAAAGUGCAGUUUAAAUCCAGUGUUUGUUGAUUUUCUGUUUAGACGAUCAAAUGCUGACAGUGGAGUGAAGUUCUCAAUAGUUAUUGUCUUGGAAUCUUUAUUUUUACAGUGAAUAAUAUUUGCUUUAUGUAUCUGAGUGCUCUGUUGUUGGGUAUAUAUAUAUAUUUAGAGUUGUUAUCUACUGUUACACUCCAGUAGCAUUUUUGCUAUGAAGUGAAUCUCCUGGGUUGGAUGCUAUAUUACUUGGUAUUUCAUGUCUUUGGAUCAGGCGUGAAUAAUAGUGCUGGCUGAGCCUUACAGGACUAGAAAGGCAAAUCCAUGUUUGGAAUAAAUCCAGGUAUUUAUCCCUGUGAGGUUGAACCACUGUACUUUAGAGGCUGGCAGGUGGCUGAAGUAGUCAAUUUGUCCCCCAGUAAGUAGUUUAUUUUCUUGAGGAAUAGUGUCACAUUAGGGACUCAACUUUCUGCUGAUACAUGCUGGGUAGUUCUUGGCAAUUCUUUAGGUAUCUAUGUACCAUUUUCCUCCUUUAUCAAGACCAACACUUGUGCACUGGGUUAUCCUUAGACAUAAUCAUAAUUACUGGCCUGGUGGCUGGGAGAGGAGGUUGGACCAGCUCCUGGGAGAGCAGCACCUAUUCCCUUGUGAACAUAAUUUGCAGGUACAGUACAAAAUGAAAAUGGGGACCUUUGUUCAAAAGGUAGAGGAAAACAUGCCAUAAAAACAAAGUUUCUUUUUUUCUGUGGAAUAAUAUAUAUAAGGUCGCACACGGUGGCUCAUGCCUGUAAUCCCAGCACUUUGGGAGGCUGAGGUGGGUGGAUCACGAGGUCAGGAGUUUGAGAUCAGUCCAGCCAAUAUGGUGAAACCCUGUUUCUACUAAAAAUACAAAAAUUAGCCAGGCAUGGUGGCACACGCCUGUCAUCCCAG
rnacentral:lncRNA from 1 species